rnacentral:rRNA from 1 species
CCUACGGGUGGCAGCAGUCGAGAAUCAUUCACAAUGGGGGAAACCCUGAUGGUGCGACGCCGCGUGGGGGAAUGAAGGUCUUCGGAUUGUAAACCCCUGUCAUGUGGGAGCAAAUUAAAAAGAUAGUACCACACGAGGAAGAGACGGCUAACUCUGUGCCAGCAGCCGCGGUAAUACAGAGGUCUCAAGCGUUGUUCGGAAUCACUGGGCGUAAAGCGUGCGUAGGUGGGUUCGUAAGUCGUGUGUGAAAGGCGCGGGCUCAACCCGCGGACGGCACAUGAUACUGGGAGACUAGAGUAAUGGAGGGGGAGCCGGAAUUCGCGGUGUAGCAGUGAAAUGCUUAGAUAGCGAGAGGAACACUCGUGGCGAAGGCGGGUUCCUGGACAUUAACUGACGCUGAGGCACGAAGGCCAGGGGAGCGAAAGGGAUUAGAUACCCCUGUAGUC